GAUGAACGCUGGCGGCGUGCCUAAUACAUGCAAGUCGAGCGAACGGACGAGAAGCUUGCUUCUCUGAUGUUAGCGGCGGACGGGUGAGUAACACGUGGAUAACCUACCUAUAAGACUGGGAUAACUUCGGGAAACCGGAUCUAAUACCGGAUGAUAUUUUGAACCGCAUGGUUCAUAAGUGAAAGACGGUCUUGCUGUCCCUUAUAGAUGGAUCCGCGCUGCAUUAGCUAGUUGGUAAGGUAACGGCUUACCAAGGCAACGAUGCAUAGCCGACCUGAGAGGAUGAUCGGCCACACUGGAACUGAGACACGGUCCAGACUCCUACGGGAGGCAGCAGUAGGGAAUCUUCCGCAAUGGGCGAAAGCCUGACGGAGCAACGCCGCGUGAGUGAUGAAGGUCUUCGGAUCGUAAAACUCUGUUAUUAGGGAAGAACAUAUGUGUAAGUAACUGUGCACAUCUUGACGGUACCUAAUCAGAAAGCCACGGCUAACUACGUG
rnacentral:rRNA from 1 species